rnacentral:rRNA from 1 species
GUGAGGAAUAUUGGUCAAUGGGCGAGAGCCUGAACCAGCCAAGUCGCGUGAAGGAAGAAGGAUCUAUGGUUCGUAAACUUCUUUUGCAGGGGAAUAAAGUGCGGGACGUGUCCUGUUUUGUAUGUACCCUGAGAAUAAGGAUCGGCUAACUCCGUGCCAGCAGCCGCGGUAAUACGGAGGAUCCGAGCGUUAUCCGGAUUUAUUGGGUUUAAAGGGUGCGUAGGUGGUUUGAUAAGUCAGCGGGGAAAAUUUGCAGCUUAACUGUAAAAAUGGCGGUGAAACUGUCGGACUUGAGUGUAAAUGAGGUAGGCGGAAUGCGUGGUGUAGCGGUGAAAUGCAUAGAUAUCACGCAGAACUCCGAUUGCGAAGGCAGCUUACUAAGCUACAACUGACACUGAAGCACGAAAGCGUGGGGAUCAAACAGGAUUAGAAACCCUGGUAGUCC